rnacentral:rRNA from 1 species
UACGUAGGGGGCUAGCGUUGUCCGGAAUCAUUGGGCGUAAAGCGCGCGUAGGCGGCCAGAUAAGUCCGGUGUGAAAGUCACAGGCUCAACCUGUGAAUGCCGCUGGAAACUGUCUGGCUAGAGUCCGGAAGAGGCGAGUGGAAUUCCUGGUGUAGCGGUGGAAUGCGCAGAUAUCAGGAGGAACACCAAUAGCGAAGGCAGCUCGCUGGGACGGUAUUGACGCUAAGGCGCGAAAGCGUGGGGAGCAAACAGG